rnacentral:rRNA from 1 species
AAUCGAGCGAAUGGAUAAGAGCUUGCUCUUAUGAAGUUAGCGGCGGACGGGUGAGUAACACGUGGGUAACCUGCCCAUAAGACUGGGAUAACUCCGGGAAACCGGGGCUAAUACCGGAUAACAUUUUGAACCGCAUGGUUCGAAAUUGAAAGGCGGCUUCGGCUGUCACUUAUGGAUGGACCCGCGUCGCAUUAGCUAGUUGGUGAGGUAACGGCUCACCAAGGCAACGAUGCGUAGCCGACCUGAGAGGGUGAUCGGCCACACUGGGACUGAGACACGGCCCAGACUCCUACGGGAGGCAGCAGUAGGGAAUCUUCCGCAAUGGACGAAAGUCUGACGGAGCAACGCCGCGUGAGUGAUGAAGCUUUUCGGAUCGUAAAGCUCUGUUGUUAGGGAAGAACAAGUACCGUUCGAAUAGGGCGGUACCUUGACGGUACCUAACCAGAAAGCCACGGCUAACUACGUGCCAGCAGCCGCGGUAAUACGUAGGUGGCAAGCGUUGUCCGGAAUUAUUGGGCGUAAAGGGCUCGCAGGCGGUUUCUUAAGUCUGAUGUGAAAGCCCCCGGCUCAACCGGGGAGGGUCAUUGGAAACUGGGGAACUUGAGUGCAGAAGAGGAGAGUGGAAUUCCACGUGUAGCGGUGAAAUGCGUAGAGAUGUGGAGGAACACCAGUGGCGAAGGCGACUCUCUGGUCUGUAACU